rnacentral:lncRNA from 1 species
GGCUCCCAUAGUUCUCAUCCUGCUGGGCCUGCUGCUCUUCAAAAUGUACCCCAUUGAUGAGGAGAGGCGGCGGCAGAAUAAGAAGGCCCUGCAGGCACUGAGGGACGAGGCCAGCAGCUCUGGCUGCUCAGAAACAGACUCCACAGAGCUGGCUAGCAUCCUCUAGGGCCCGCCACGUUGCCCGAAGCCACCAUGCAGAAGGCCACAGAAGGGAUCAGGACCUGUCUGCCGGCUUGCUGAGCAGCUGGACUGCAGGUGCUAGGAAGGGAACUGAAGACUCAAGGAGGUGGCCCAGGACACUUGCUGUGCUCACUGUGGGGCCGGCUGCUCUGUGGCCUCCUGCCUCCCCUCUGCCUGCCUGUGGGGCCAAGCCCUGGGGCUGCCACUGUGAAUAUGCCAAGGACUGAUCGGGCCUAGCCCGGAACACUAAUGUAGAAACCUUUUUUUUUACAGAGCCUAAUUAAUAACUUAAUGACUGUGUACAUAGCAAUGUGUGUGUAUGUAUAUGUCUGUGAGCUAUUAAUGUUAUUAAUUUUCAUAAAAGCUGGAAAGC